rnacentral:rRNA from 1 species
UACGGAGGGUGCAAGCGUUAUCCGGAUUUACUGGGUUUAAAGGGCGCGUAGGCGGCUUAUCAAGUCAGGGGUGAAAUCCGGCAGCUCAACUGUCGAAGUGCCUUUGAUACUGAUGAGCUCGAGGGAGGUAGGGGUCUGUGGAACUUCCGGUGGAGCGGUGAAAUGCGUUGAUAUCGGAAGGAACGCCGGUGGCGAAAGCGACGGACUGGACCUCUUCUGACGCUGAGGCGCGAAAGCUAGGGGAGCAAACGGG